AUGGAAAGUUAUUGUAAUGCAUCGGGCCAGAGGAUAAACCUUGCAAAGUCCUCUGUUUUCUUCAGCAAGGGAUGCCCCAUUCCACUCGGAGAAGAGGUAAAGGAGGCCCUAAAUAUCACGAAUGAAUCCUUGACAGAGAGAUAUCUGGGAAUGCCUUCGGAUGUGGGUACAAGCAAGAAUGGGGCUUUCAAAUUUUUGAAGGACAGGGUUUGGGCCAAGAUA
rnacentral:rRNA from 1 species